rnacentral:rRNA from 1 species
CCCGUCACAUCACGAAAGUGGAUUGUACUAGAAGUCUGCACGCUGACCCGCAAGGGGGCGCUGACCACGGUGAGAUUCAUGACUGGGGUG